rnacentral:rRNA from 1 species
CAGAGGGUGCGAGCGUUAAUCGGAAUUACUGGGCGUAAAGGGUGCGUAGGUGGUUAUGUAAGUUAGAUGUGAAAUUCCUGGGCUUAACCUGGGGACUGCGUCUGAUACUGCAAAGCUAGAGUACUGUAGAGGGAAGUGGAAUUUCCGGUGUAGCAGUGAAAUGCGUAGAUAUCGGAAGGAACAUCAGUGGCGAAGGCGACUUUCUGGACAGAUACUGACACUGAGGCACGAAAGCGUGGGGAGCAAACAGGAUUAGAUACCCUGGUAGUCCAUGCUGUAAACGAUGAAGACUGGCUGUUGGUUGCCUUUGGGCAAUUAGUGGCGAAGCUAACGCGUUAAGUCUUCCGCCUGGGGAGUACGGCCGCAAGGUUA